rnacentral:lncRNA from 10 species
AGUAGCAAUAGCAUCAGAGCCUGGAGUCAAUGUUACUGCCCCCUUACCCUGCAUGGCCACAGGGAGAUUAAGGCCUGGAAUCCUCAUGCCUGUAUGACUGUAGGUGGGGAGGAGUUUGUCCAGCAAGACCCACAAAGAAAUGCAGGAGGACAUGGCCCAUGAUUCUGACCAGUGUGUAGGGAUCAAGGCAAAGGAGAUGGUCUGCAUAAUCAGGAGAUUGAUUAUAUACAGG